rnacentral:rRNA from 1 species
GAUAAACGCUGGCGGCGUGCUUUAUGCAUGCAAGUCGAACGGUCUGAUGUUCCAAGCUUGCUUGGGAUGCCAGAUAGUGGCGAACGGGUGAGUAACGCGUAAGUAACCUGCCCCUAAGUAAGGAAUAACUCUGAGAAGUUAGAGCUAAUACCAUAAAGGUGAUGGAGGUAAUGCUUCAUCACUAAAGCUAAAGCUUUAGGGCGCUUAGGGAGGGGCUUGCGUCCGAUUAGCUAGUUGGUAGGGUAAUGGUUUACCAAGGCGAUGAUCGGUAGCUGGUUUGAGAGGACAUCCAGCCACACUGGGACUUAGAUACGGCCCAGACUCCUACGGGAGGCAGCAGCAAGGAAUUUUGUGCAAUGGGCGAAAGCCUGACACAGCGACGCCGCGUGGGGGAUGAAGGCCUUCGGGUUGUAAACCCCUUUUCUCAGGGAAGAAUAAUGACGGUACCUGAGGAAUAAGUCGUGGCUAACUACGUGCCAGCAGCCGCGGUAAUACGUAGGCGGCAAGCGUUAUCUGGAUUUACUGGGCGUAAAGUGGGCGUAGGCGGUUUUUCAAGUCGAUUGUAAAAUCUCCCGGCUUAACUGGGAGGGGCCAGUCGAUACUGUUGGACUAGAGGGCAGCAGGAGGAGGUGGAAUUCCCGGUGGAGUGGUGAAAUGUGUAGAUAUCGGGAGGAACACCAGUGGCGAAAGCGGCCUCUUAGGCUGUUUCUAACGCUGAGGCCCGAAAGCGUGGGUAGCAAACAGGAUCAGAUACCCUGGUAGUCCACGCCGUAAACGAUGGACACUAGGUAUAGGGAGUAUCGACCCUCUCUGUGCCGAAGCUAACGCAUUAAGUGUCCCGCCUGGGGAGACGGCCGCAAGGCU